UCUGGUAGUUAUGGCGAGAAGGUCACACCCGUUCCCAUCCCGAACACGGUAGUUAAGCUUCUCUGCGCCAAUGGUAGUUGGGGGUUU
rnacentral:rRNA from 1 species